UAUGGCAGAUUAGUGCAUUGGAUUUAAACCCCAAAAAUAAAGAAAUCUUUUAUUAAAA
rnacentral:tRNA from 1 species